rnacentral:rRNA from 1 species
AACGAACGCUGGCGGCGUGGAUUAGGCAUGCAAGUCGUACGCGAACGCCACCUUCGGGUGGCUAGUAGAGUGGCGAACGGGUGAGUAACGCGUGAGAAACCUGCCCAGAAUGGGGGAUAACACUCCCAACGGGGUGCUAAUACCGCAUGUGAUGUGAGUCUCGCAUGGGUCACACAUCAAAGAUGGCCUCUACUUGUAAGCUAUCGUUUCUGGAUGGUCUCGCGUCCGAUUAGCUUGUUGGUGGGUAAAAGCCCACCAAGGCGACGAUCGGUAGCUGGUCUGAGAGGAUGGUCAGCCACACUGGGACUGAGAUACGGCCCAGACUCCUACGGGAGGCAGCAGUCGAGAGGCUUUGUCAAUGGGGGAAACCCUGAACAAGCGACGCCGCGUGGGGGAUGAAGGCCUUUGGGUUGUAAACCCCUUUCAGUGGGGACGAAAGGCAGACGGGUGAAUAAUCCGUUUGUUUGACGGUACCUACAGAAGAAGCUCCGGCUAACUCCGUG